AGCGCGGGGGCAACUCUGGCGGCGAGCGGCGAACGGGUGAGUAACACAUCGGAACAUGUCCAGUCGUGGGGGAUAACCUGGCGAAAGCCAGGCUAAUACCGCAUGAGCUCUGGCGAGGAAAGCGGGGGACCGUAAGGCCUCGCGCGAUUGGGUUGGCCGAUGUCCGAUUAGCUAGUUGGCGGGGUAAGAGCCCACCAAGGCGAUGAUCGGUAGCUGGUCUGAGAGGAUGAUCAGCCACACUGGGACUGAGACACGGCCCAGACUCCUACGGGAGGCAGCAGUGGGGAAUUUUGGACAAUGGGGGAAACCCUGAUCCAGCCAUUCCGCGUGAGUGAAGAAGGCCUUCGGGUUGUAAAGCUCUUUUGUCCGGAGCGAAACGGGUGUGGUGAAUAUCCACAUCUACUGACGGUACCGGAAGAAUAAGCACCGGCUAACUACGUGCCAGCAGCCGCGGUAAUACGUAGGGUGCGAGCGUUAAUCGGAAUUACUGGGCGUAAAGCGUGCGCAGGCGGGCUUUUAAGCCAGACGUGAAAUCCCCGGGCUUAACCUGGGAAUGGCGUUUGGGACUGGAAGUCUGGAGUGCGGCAGAGGAGACUGGAAUUCCUGGUGUAGCAGUGAAAUGCGUAGAUAUCAGGAGGAACACCGAUGGCGAAGGCAGGUCUCUGGGCUGACACUGACGCUCAAGCACGAAAGCGUGGGGAGCAGACAGGAUUAGAUACCCUGGUAGUCCACGCCCUAAACGAUGUCGACUGGUUGUUGGGGGUUUGACACUCUCGGUAACGAAGCUAACGCCUGAAGUCGACCGCCUGGGGAGUACGGCCGCAAGGUUAAAACUCAAAGGAAUUGACGGGGA
rnacentral:rRNA from 1 species